GUCCUUGGGUGGAGGAUGGGCUGCUGUGGCCUUCACUUUCACUAUCUGUCCAGCAGAGUCCAUUGAGAGAGACAGGACCCUCAGAGUUUUCCUUAACUUCAUGGGCCCGAUUUUCCAAUGGAUGAAAAAAAGAAAACCAAAUUCCUUGAUUCCUAAGGCUCCAACACACUCCAUGUCUCUAUGCAUUCUCAUUCUCAUUGGGGAUGAUGGCAAACCCUUGGGUGGAAGAGAUGUCUCUGGCAGAGCGGCAACGUGGUGCUUACAAAGCUUACAAAGAGACCAGUCCACUGGAAUCACCAGCACUGAACAGCUGUUAGGAAUACUGAGAGUCCUGAGAUAAUAAGGAAUCCAGACAUCCUUAGACGGUCUUCUGUUGUUCCUUCUUCCCGAUCAGCAAUUGUAGACGUGUGGGAUGACACCACCACCACCAGCAGCAAUCAUAGCCUUGACCAGAGUCCAAUUCUUCAUCUACAUGUAUAGCAAGUUGCAAAUGAUGGGGGUGGGGUGGGGUGGGGGUCCAUGGCUGGUUGUCCUAGAUGUCAGUUGUUGAUGAAUACAGCUCACAGGGAAAUGCUGCAAGUGGGAAACCACCUUUGUGUUGGCCUUUCCAGAGUCCUUUCCAGCCUUACCGCUGGCCAUCUCGGGCUGUGCUGAAGCUCAAGCGAGGAAGAGACAGGCAGAAACUCAGCGAGAUCCUGGCGCCCACUCCUCCAUCGUUCUGCCAUUCAGAUUCCCUUUAACUACAUUUUUCUGUUCUCUUGUCUUUGUACUCGCCCGGUCAAAUUGUGUCCUGUAUUGAUUUGUGGGGUAUCUGAUAUCUAGUCUUGUCCUUGGCCCUAGCACCUUGGUCUAUGUUUGGACUUGUGUGUAUGUACAUGUUCCUAUAUGAGCAGGUUUAUGUACAGGUGUACAUCUUCCUAUGGAAAGAUAUAUGUCUACAUGUCUGCAUGUGAGCGUGCACACAUAUGUGUGUGUUCAUGUGAUGUGCGCACAAGUGUAGACCAGAGUUUAAUUAUAGGUAUAAAGAUGACGGGAGCCAUCUACUUUGCUUUUUGAGACAAGAUCUUUCAUUGGGGCUUGUUGAGUAACCUAACCCUGUUGGCCAGAGAACUCCGGAGAGCCUUCUGUCUCUUCCUCCCCAGCACUCCAUGGAAUCUGUCUUUUUAACACGGAUUCUAGUGCUCGGAAUGACUGACUGAGCUGUCUUGUCCAGUCUUCCAUGUUUGAACUUCCAUGGGACAUACUUGUUUUAAUCAACACCAUCUUGAUUCAGUAAACUACCCGUGGUUCCAAUAACAGCCUCAUCUUAAAGCCGGGACAUGACAGUUGGCAGGAAGCCUCCGUGUUUCCCAUUGUAUUGUUUCUUUUUCACUCCAAAGUAAUCUCUGCUUUGAUUUGGGGUUAGGGAUUUUGAGCCAUUGGCAAAGGGUCAUUUGCAUCAUUGCUGUCGUCAGGGAAAUAAGGCAGUUUCAUCUCUCUGUGACCUUGAGCAGAGGAUGCAGUGUCCCCAAGGUCUCCAGUACUUUCUUGAGUCUCAGCCCCUGAUUUCCAGAAUGCCUGCUGGGUACCUGUGCUGCAGAUUCGUUCUCACAGUCUCCCUUCCUUAUUGCUCUCGUUCAAUCAACGUCAAGUGCUCCGGCUUCUACUGUCUAAAUACCUCUUAAAUCAAUCACUCCCGAAUGGGCUCUGCAGCCACAGCCUUAGCUCAGACUUGACAUUCCUUCCUGGCAUUAUUGCCUCUCAGCCUCCUGCCUGCUCUCCUUGCCAUUGUCUUCCUCAUCUACCUCAGCCCUCCAUAUUACAGCCACAGCUAUCUUUCUCAGAAUCACAUCUGCUGUUGCUUGGUUGUAAGACUUUCAGUGAGUCUCCAUCCUCUUUAGUGUGGCAUACAAGGGCUUUCCUGGUUUGGCCUGUUUUCCUGAAUUUCUUUUUCUCCUGGCAUACCCCUUUUCAUUCCAUAGUCUAGCCACGCUGCGCAUCACAUCAGGGUCUUGACAUGCUAUUAGCACCUGCAUCUGUAUUGCUUCUAUAUAGACUCUGCCCUCAGACUGGACUACCCUCUUUGUCUUUUUGAGCUCCCUACCUGGCUAACAGUCUGUACUCCAGACCAGGCUGAACUGCCCCCUCUUCCGUGAAGCCCCCCUGACUCCACGGGAGGGGGUCAGCCUACCUUGCCUCUCCCCUCUUACAUGUCUCUUCUGUCAUCCACCAGAUUGAUUGAUUUGUAAUUAUUUGCCCAUAUGCACCCCUCCCUCAUCGAAUAAGGCUUCCCUGAGUGCAGGAACUCAACUCGUAGCACAAAGUCUGGCACAGGCUGUAGGUGUUCAAUACCCCUUGCUGACUGAAAGUGGGAAGUUCGCUAGAUGAGCAGGAAGGGUUUGCAGGGAAGCACGUGGAGCGGGGAGGAGACAGAAAGGUGUGUCCUCACAAUGUCCCUACCGGUUAUCUAUCAUAGAUUUCCAGGGACACUCCUAAUGUAAAAUAUUUAUUCCUGCUUUCUUUUCAUGUCCACCUAUCCACAAGUCAGAUGAAACCCUUUGUCUAACCACGCGCUUCUGGCUCAACUGUAGACAGCAGCAGCGUGACAACUGCUGGAGCCGAGCUGGUACAAAACAGUUCUGUGCCUCUUCCCCAUGCCUUCUCUUUUGCGUAUUGCUGCCUUUCCACGCCUCGGCUCCAUUUUGCAGAGCUCUGUGGGUUCCCAAGGCAUUGCGAUUUGAGGUCUGAGUGAUACUCCUUUGAAGAUGUGAUCUGAAGCACGGGAGCCUAUGAGGUUCCUUAUGGGUAAUCUUACUGGCUGGAGUGGCCAAGAGAAAAAUCCACCUAUGUGUCCUGGGAGCAGCCCUCAUCUCUGCAGUCCCAGGGGAUUUGGCAUUUAGCUGGCUUCUAUUUAGCUUGCAAUGUUUUUUUUUGGUUUUUUUUUGUUUUUUUUUUUUGUCCAAUUCUAAUACAUGGCUUUAUGUGUUUAGCUUGUGUACAAAGUUUAUGCUCAUAAAUGGCUUCUCUUCUGUCUAGAGGGACUGUGAGUCCUGGGCUAGAGCCUGUGAACAGAGCAUAAUGUAAUUCUGGUGUUUUAUUAACCGUAAUAACCAGAAAUCUCCAGCCACUAAUAUAUCUGCAUAGAGGUUUGUCUGGAUUUCCAGUUAUUUUUACUUUCAGCACAAACUGGACAGAAAAUUCAUUUCAAUGCAGUUGAGCUUUUUAUUCGUCCUAAGCUGAGAUUAAGUCAUCUGCCUUGUGAACCGUGAGGCCAAGGGCAGGAGAGUAAGUGCCUGGGCUUCUCUUCCUGGCACCAGGGGAGGUCCCUGGGGCCAUGUGGGUUGCAUAGGCUUAGAGGAGUUAUUUUUCCAUUUUUUUACCACCUUUGAAACUGACGUCUUAGUACUCAGCUUCUGUCCUAGGAACCGAAAGGAAAAAAAAAAAAAAGACCCAGAGAUUUACUCCCAGUGUUUAGGCCCACACUGGUGCUAUUUCUUUUAUCUUUAAAUUAGAAAACAGAAAACAAACCACAUUCUGCUCAGUGCUGGGAGUGACUCAGUUGGAAAAGCACUUGCCUUGCAAGCAUGAGGACCGUGGUUCCCAGCACCCAGGGAAAAGUGCUGGACAUGGCGGCGUGCACUUAUGCACACUCACCACUGAGGACAUGGAAGUGGACACAGAAGGAUCCCCGGGGCCUGACUGGGGAACUCUGGGCCAAUGAGAGACCCCAUCUCAAAAGAGGUGCAUGGGCAUUCCCGAGGAUGACACCCUCAGGCAUCCCCAUGCAACUGCACGCAUGUGAAUGAUCACCUUCACACACCAGAACAUGCAUGCACACACGUGUGCAUUAAGCCUCUGUCUAUCCCUCAAUGAGUGAUAACAUUGAUUGAUUCUCUGGCUGUGGAUGACUUUAAACUCGGGAUGUUAUUGAUUUUUUUUUCUCUUUAUAAAGCUUUUCUAUAAAGUAAAAACCUGACGACCUUAAGUUACAAAGUUUGAGUUAAAUUAUGAGCCUUUUAGCUUUGCAUUAGAAGUGGUAUCUGGAACCUGAUUUGCUAGAUCAGACCACAUUAGUUGUGUUAUGUUAUUUUCUAAAAACACAUUUCAGAGAAAUAACUCCAAUCUGCGUUGCAUUUUAUAGAGCAAAAUAAUUGAAUGGCGGCUGUUUGUAAUUUUAGCAAUCUCUUAACCUUAAUCAUAUUUAAUGGCUUUUCUCUUCAGGCUAACAGGAGAGAGAGAAAAAAGGUUCCAGCUCCCUUGUAUAACGGCGUGACAGUAAUGCACCCUGGUCCUCGGCAGCCCAGUAAAUUCCUCCUCUCUGAAUUGUUGGUUCGGGACAAUCAUUCAGCGGGGAAUUACUUUCUCAUCUAUGAAAUAAAUGAGAUGUU